rnacentral:rRNA from 1 species
UACGGAGGAUGCAAGCGUUGUCCGGAAUUAUUGGGCGUAAAGAGCUCGUAGGCGGUUUGUCGCGUCUGCUGUGAAAACUCGGGGCUUAACUCCGGGCCUGCAGUGGGUACGGGCAGACUAGAGUGCGGUAGGGGAGACUGGAAUUCCUGGUGUAGCGGUGAAAUGCGCAGAUAUCAGGAGGAACACCGGUGGCGAAGGCGGGUCUCUGGGCCGUAACUGACGCUGAGGAGCGAAAGCGUGGGGAGCGAACAGG